CCUACGGGAGGCAGCAGUGGGGAAUAUUGCACAAUGGGCGAAAGCCUGAUGCAGCAACGCCGCGUGAGCGAUGAAGGCCUUCGGGUUGUAAAGCUCUUUCCUCAUGGAAGAUAAUGACGCUACUUGAGGAGGAUGCUCCGGCAAACUCCGCGCCCGCAGCCCCGGUAAUAUGCAGGGGGCUAGCGGUAUCCGGAUUUACGGGGCGUAAAGCGGGCGUAGGUGGUUUCUUAAGUAGGAGGUGAAAGGCUAGGGUUCAACCGUAGAAAGCAUUUGAAAAUGUGGAACUUGAGUGCAGGAGAGGAGGGUGGAAUUCCUAGUGUAGCGGUGAAAUGCGUAGAUAUUAGGAGGAACACCAGUUGCGAAGGCGGCUCUCUGGACUGUAACUGACACUGAGGCACGAAAGCGUGGGGAGCAAACAGGAUUAGAUACCCUAGUAGUC
rnacentral:rRNA from 1 species